AAGAAUGAAAAGGAGGAAUACAAUACCUGCAGAAAAGAUCUGAUGGGAAAGAAGGGAAAGAAUGGUGAAAUCUACCCAGGCUGCGGAAGACCAGGAGAGCCAGGCUGAGCCUUCGCUAGGCCCCGGAAGACACCAAAGCACACCGCGCACGCUGCCGCCUCAGGACCGAAACCUCUCUCUGCAAUUUCUGGUGCUGGGAUACUUUUGCCCUGCCACUUCUCAAGAUCGACAACUUCUCGAGCUCCUGCAGCCAGGAUCAGACCACUAGCUUCUCUACAACCAGUCGAGCUCCACCCAGCAUGUCCCAACUAUCCCCUGUGGGCAAACUUUGCUCCCAGAAGGCUCUGAUUCCAGAAGCAGGGAGCAGGCAGCUCGAGAAGAUCGGCCCUACUGCAGGCCAAGCGCUAAACCCAAGUGGGGAAAGGACACGUUCCCUCCUGCACAGCCCCUCGGCCCCUCCAGGCCACAACAGACUGCCUAAAGGAGAACUACCAAUCUGUCACCAGCCCCAGGGCACAUCAGGUUUCCAGCUUUGUACGAACACUCAGCAUCUGCCCCUCACCAUCCUGGUAAAUAAAAAUACAGAUCUAUAUAUCUCUAUCUUUACGGCUGUAUUACAGAAAUCUGAUUUGCUUACAAAAAAGCUAUAAGCAGUGAACAAUUAAGAAACUAAGAGCCAAAGGUGCAACCUGUAACAAGGUGCCAACUAGGCUAAUAGGCAAGGAGCACUUUGGGGCCAACGGGGAAGAUAUAAAAAUAGGAACAGAUAUUUAAUGAAACGUCUUUUUUAACCCACAGAAUUCCAAGAAUGAAGAAUUAUUCCCAGUCAUGCAAGGGUGAAGAGACUCUUCUCUGCUGGUGGGAGGAUCAACUGUUUCCGUAUUUUUUGGAAAGCAGUUUGACAGAAUGUAUGAAAAGUAAAAAUCCGUCUCAUUAAUCCCUUCCCAGAACGUAUCCUAAAUUUAAGAACUGGAAACAUGCGUGCACACUGAUUGUAGUGGUGAAAAAUGGGAAAACACCUAAACGUUCCUCAGUGCAGAAGAGGUUAAAUAAAUCGUAC
rnacentral:lncRNA from 1 species